UUUUACUGCACGUUUUAGGAUUUUUUUGCGUGAAUUAUCCCGUCAAAGGUUUCCGACAGACGGAUCUGGAGAAUGUUACCAUGGAGACAUAUCGUCGUUGCCAGGAGACGUCGCCAUUAAAUUUAGAUUUGAUGACCGGGCUACUCCUGCCCCGGCGACACAAGCAGUUCUCCUGCUGUGAUGUUGCCUGUCUUGCACGAAGGCUGACAGAAGGCUGUGAUCGGUCUCUGGACCGCUUCCGGUUGAUGCAUAAUUCUGAUGGACCCAUCUGGCUCUUCCAGAACUGAUGUAGCCACACGUCUGACUUUCAAAAGAGCACAUGGUGGGAAAAGAACACGAGCCUGUCACAAAGGCCACGUCAUCUACAGCCAACUGACCGUCGAAACCAGAGCGUACGGCCUCAAAAACCAACUGCACAUGGAAGAGAGAAACAUAAAGACUUAAGGAAAGACUAAAAGAAUAGUCAGACACAUUUUACAAUUCAAUGUAUGCUACAUUCAUAAAAAUAAAUAAAUAAAUGCUUUUGU